AUUGAACGCUGGCGGCAUGCUUUACACAUGCAAGUCGAACGGCAGCGGGGGCUUCGGCCUGCCGGCGAGUGGCGAACGGGUGAGUAAUGCAUCGGAACGUGCCCAUGUCGUGGGGGAUAACGUAUCGAAAGGUACGCUAAUACCGCAUACGUCCUGAGGGAGAAAGCGGGGGAUCUUCGGACCUCGCGCGAUUGGAGCGGCCGAUGUCGGAUUAGCUAGUAGGUGAGGUAAAGGCUCACCUAGGCGACGAUCCGUAGCGGGUCUGAGAGGAUGAUCCGCCACACUGGGACUGAGACACGGCCCAGACUCCUACGGGAGGCAGCAGUGGGGAAUUUUGGACAAUGGGCGCAAGCCUGAUCCAGCCAUGCCGCGUGAGUGAAGAAGGCCUUCGGGUUGUAGAGCUCUUUCGGCCGGGAAGAAAUCGUGUUCUCUAACAUAGGACAUGGAUGACGGUACCGGACUAAGAAGCACCGGCUAACUACGUGCCAGCAGCCGCCGUAA
rnacentral:rRNA from 1 species